rnacentral:rRNA from 3 species
UUAAGCGACUAAGCGUACACGGUGGAUGCCCUGGCAGUCAGAGGCGAUGAAGGACGUGCUAAUCUGCGAAAAGCGUCGGUAAGGUGAUAUGAACCGUUAUAACCGGCGAUGUCCGAAUGGGGAAACCCAGUGUGAUUCGUCACACUAUCGUUAACUGAAUACAUAGGUUAACGAGGCGAACCGGGGGAACUGAAACAUCUAAGUACCCCGAGGAAAAGAAAUCAACCGAGAUUCCCCCAGUAGCGGCGAGCGAACGGGGAGCAGCCCAGAGUCUGAAUCAGCUUGUGUGUUAGUGGAACGGUCUGGAAAGUCCGACGGUACAGGGUGAUAGUCCCGUACACCAAAAUGCACAGGCUGUGAACUCGAAGAGUAGGGCGGGACACGUGGUAUCCUGUCUGAAUAUGGGGGGACCAUCCUCCAAGGCUAAAUACUCCUGACUGACCGAUAGUGAACCAGUACCGUGAGGGAAAGGCGAAAAGAACCCCGGCGAGGGGAGUGAAAAAGAACCUGAAACCGUGUACGUACAAGCAGUGGGAGCACCUUCGGGUGUGACUGCGUACCUUUUGUAUAAUGGGUCAGCGACUUAUAUUCUGUAGCAAGGUUAACCGUAUAGGGGAGCCGCAGGGAAACCGAGUCUUAACUGGGCGUUAAGUUGCAGGGUAUAGACCCGAAACCCGGUGAUCUAGCCAUGGGCAGGUUGAAGGUUGGGUAACACUAACUGGAGGACCGAACCGACUAAUGUUGAAAAAUUAGCGGAUGACUUGUGGCUGGGGGUGAAAGGCCAAUCAAACCGGGAGAUAGCUGGUUCUCCCCGAAAGCUAUUUAGGUAGCGCCUCGUGAACUCAUCUUCGGGGGUAGAGCACUGUUUCGGCUAGGGGGUCAUCCCGACUUACCAACCCGAUGCAAACUACGAAUACCGAAGAAUGUUAUCACGGGAGACACACGGCGGGUGCUAACGUCCGUCGUGAAGAGGGAAACAACCCAGACCGCCAGCUAAGGUCCCAAAGUCAUGGUUAAGUGGGAAACGAUGUGGGAAGGCACAGACAGCCAGGAUGUUGGCUUAGAAGCAGCCAUCAUUUAAAGAAAGCGUAAUAGCUCACUGGUCGAGUCGGCCUGCGCGGAAGAUGUAACGGGGCUAAACCAUGCACCGAAGCUGCGGCAGCGACACUAUGUGUUGUUGGGUAGGGGAGCGUUCUGUAAGCCUGCGAAGGUGUGCUGUGAGGCAUGCUGGAGGUAUCAGAAGUGCGAAUGCUGACAUAAGUAACGAUAAAGCGGGUGAAAAGCCCGCUCGCCGGAAGACCAAGGGUUCCUGUCCAACGUUAAUCGGGGCAGGGUGAGUCGACCCCUAAGGCGAGGCCGAAAGGCGUAGUCGAUGGGAAACAGGUUAAUAUUCCUGUACUUGGUGUUACUGCGAAGGGGGGACGGAGAAGGCUAUGUUAGCCGGGCGACGGUUGUCCCGGUUUAAGCAUGUAGGCUGAUUGUCCAGGCAAAUCCGGAUAAUCAAGGCUGAGGUGUGAUGACGAGGCACUACGGUGCUGAAGUAACAAAUGCCCUGCUUCCAGGAAAAGCCUCUAAGCAUCAGGUAACAUUAAAUCGUACCCCAAACCGACACAGGUGGUCAGGUAGAGAAUACCAAGGCGCUUGAGAGAACUCGGGUGAAGGAACUAGGCAAAAUGGUGCCGUAACUUCGGGAGAAGGCACGCUGGUGUGUAGGUGAAGUCCCUGCGGAUGGAGCUGAGACCAGUCGAAGAUACCAGCUGGCUGCAACUGUUUAUUAAAAACACAGCACUGUGCAAACACGAAAGUGGACGUAUACGGUGUGACGCCUGCCCGGUGCCGGAAGGUUAAUUGAUGGGGUUAUCCGUAAGGAGAAGCUCUUGAUCGAAGCCCCGGUAAACGGCGGCCGUAACUAUAACGGUCCUAAGGUAGCGAAAUUCCUUGUCGGGUAAGUUCCGACCUGCACGAAUGGCGUAAUGAUGGCCAGGCUGUCUCCACCCGAGACUCAGUGAAAUUGAACUCGCUGUGAAGAUGCAGUGUACCCGCGGCAAGACGGAAAGACCCCGUGAACCUUUACUAUAGCUUGACACUGAACAUUGAGCCUUGAUGUGUAGGAUAGGUGGGAGGCUUUGAAGCGUGGACGCCAGUCUGCGUGGAGCCAACCUUGAAAUACCACCCUUUAAUGUUUGAUGUUCUAACGUUGGCCCCUGACCGGGGUUGCGGACAGUGUCUGGUGGGUAGUUUGACUGGGGCGGUCUCCUCCCAAAGCGUAACGGAGGAGCACGAAGGUUAGCUAAUCCUGGUCGGACAUCAGGAGGUUAGUGCAAUGGCAUAAGCUAGCUUGACUGCGAGCGUGACGGCGCGAGCAGGUGCGAAAGCAGGUCAUAGUGAUCCGGUGGUUCUGAAUGGAAGGGCCAUCGCUCAACGGAUAAAAGGUACUCCGGGGAUAACAGGCUGAUACCGCCCAAGAGUUCAUAUCGACGGCGGUGUUUGGCACCUCGAUGUCGGCUCAUCACAUCCUGGGGCUGAAGUAGGUCCCAAGGGUAUGGCUGUUCGCCAUUUAAAGUGGUACGCGAGCUGGGUUUAGAACGUCGUGAGACAGUUCGGUCCCUAUCUGCCGUGGGCGCUGGAGAAUUGAGGGGGGCUGCUCCUAGUACGAGAGGACCGGAGUGGACGCAUCACUGGUGUUCGGGUUGUCAUGCCAAUGGCACUGCCCGGUAGCUAAAUGCGGAAGAGAUAAGUGCUGAAAGCAUCUAAGCACGAAACUUGCCCCGAGAUGAGUUCUCCCUGAGACUUUAAGUCUCCUGAAGGAACGUUAAAGACGAUGACGUUGAUAGGCCGGGUGUGUAAGCGCAGCGAUGCGUUGAGCUAACCGGUACUAAUGAACCGUGAGGCUUAACCUU